AGUUACUUUUAAUAUGGUUUGGGUGACUUUCGACAAAGGUCUGGCUUUGCUUAGCCACAGUUGUGCUUCCAAUACUAGCUAAAAAGCUACAUUGUAGUUGGUGUUACUUUUUGAAAGGUAAACAAUGUUUACUAAACAUUGUGUCUCUCCUGGCUGAAAGAUCAAGAAAUUCCUCAUUGGAGAUUUAACACGAUGAACAAAUGGUUUCCUCACUAAGGACACCUUCUCCAGGCCCCAGUAGGACUCCAACAGACCUCCAAGUGGUGAGGAGAGCAGCAGCAGCAGUGGCCGCGCCCGGGAAUCAUUUUUGGUGAUCCAACCCUUGAUGCUGAGUGCCAAGCAGGGAGGUUCAGAGAAUCUGGAGAAAUCACUGCACGUAAGCGGGAAUGCCCAUGACCUUCGAUCCCUCAGGCGGUACUCCAUCAAAAAGCGACAUCAGUGUGUAAAGGAUAUCACCACGUGGGCUCUGGAACACUUCAGAAAACCACUGUCAGUAACUACAGUUGGUCGCUAGAUCUGGUCAGAGGUGUCAACCUGCUCACGCUGACAUGAAGACGGACACGUAAGGGCACGGGCGAAUUAGCGCACUACCUGACUCAGUGGAUGGAAGCUUGCAGGCCUGAGGCAGUGUGCUCUGCUCAAUGGGCUCAUGCUUGAUUUGCAGACUGAAAAAACCCCUUGAACGCAGCACACCUGUAGUUUUUCACGUGAUACUUUUAUCAUGUUCGAAAGACACGCAAUGGAUAAAGAGUCAGAAUAAUGCCGGUUAUUUUUAAAUAUAUUGCUAGUAUUGUAUGUUUUACAGAUCUAUUUAA